UUAGCUGUGCGGUUUAUUGGUGUCAGCGCAUUGACAUUGGACUGCUGAAGAAUUAUUGCCUUGUGAGAGGUGUCAUCCUUCUCAUGAGGUGUUAAACCGAGAUGUCGGACUAUCGACUUAUUCAAUUUUGAAGGAGAACCCGUUUCUUUAAUCAUAGAAAAAAAGAAUGAAGACUAGGUGUACACAGGAAGAGGUGAUGAAUCAUAGAGUACGUAUUGGUAUGAGGUGUAGUUACCAUUUUUUGGAUAUUAGUAGGUGGGUCACCCUCUUCAUCUGAAUUCUACUAAACCCUUAAAAGCAUAGUGAGACCAUGCAGCCAUUAUGACAACAGACGAAUGGAUGCUGGGCAACAAUCACCAGACAGGAAUGUUUCCUCCCAGUUGGGUAACACUUCAGCAGUCAAGGACAAUCAGUCUCUGAUCUUCGGAUAAGCGUCCUCCAAGGCAGUCUUUGAGGUACAACAAUGCAAAAUCGCCGAGCAGCAACUGAUAGCCAUAUUCCGUGCCCAUGAAGAUGGCCUCAACUGUGAUCUUGGGAUCAUGUUGUGCUACAUGUGACCCCACCACACUGUUCUG